UUAUAACUGGUAGCUUGUAUCUCUUAAUCCUCUUCACCUAUUUUGCCCAUCCCCCACCCCCUCUUUUCAUCAUCUGUAAAUACCUACUUCCAUUCCAAUUGGAGUACAUAUAUUCUUAUAUACUCUAAAGUAUACAUAGAGUGCUUUUUUCCCCAAAGAAUGAAAAUCCAGGUCAAAGACUGUUAAUUAAGCUCUUUCUUUAAGCUUUAUUUUCUUCCUUAGAAACUCAAUAUUUCUGUUUCCUCAACUGCUAAAAAAGCCCUCAUUCAGGUUGAAGAAGACAUGGUAAAUAUAUACAAUGGAAUAUUACUCAGCGAUAAAAAAGAACAAAAUACUGUCAUUUGCAGCAACGUAGAUGGACCUAGAGAUUGUCAUACUGAGUGAAAAAAAGAUAUAUGGAUGUUACUGAACAUUGAAUGGCCACAAAGGAGAGUGUUCACUGGCUUUGCCCACAUUAGAGAUGAUUUUCCUCCCAUUUUUAGAGAAGAAUUUUUCAGUUUCAGAAUCCUGAAUUGAUCAUUCCCAUUUCUCAGCCCCAUACUUCAAGAUCUCAUUCCCUUUGGCUGCUAAUGGUGUUUUUACAAGUCUCUUCCAAUCUAUCCUACCUAUUUCAACCAAAGUGUUCUUUCUAGGGUAUGGUUGUAUCUCUGCCCUAAUUAAAAUUUUGGAUGCUGCC